CUCGUCAUCUAAUUAGUGA
rnacentral:snRNA from 1 species